UUCACCCGACCUAGAAUACCUCAAUCAAAUGCUGACCGUAUUACCUCCCAGGAGAAGUCUCUUCGGUUAGUCCCAGCCGUGUAUAUUCCCCCUCAAGCCGACACCACGACGGCCCUCAAGGAACUACACUGGACUUUAUGCAAACUGGAACCACGUAUUCUGAGUCAAGACACUAUCUUCACACAUAUUUUAGAUGGUUUUCCCUGACAGCCACAACUCAAUCCUCAGCUAGGCCUAUUGCCAAUCGCGCUGCCCAAAUUGCGGGCUUCCCAAAUAGCCAUAUGCUUACGAGCAUGUGAUUUGAAACAAUCCACAGCAACAACAAAAAAUAAGAAGAAGAAUCGUCGAUUCCUCUGUGACGAAGGCAUGCUUUCUGAUAUCCCAUCAGGUGGCAGGAGAGCUUAUCGGGCAGAGCAGUGAUGUCACCAGCAGAGCGCCUGCCAGUCUGUAGGCCAUCACCACUACCGAAACGGCUGGAAGUGGAGCGAGGUUGGCCACCGCUGGUACAGAGCUAUGGAAGUGGAGCGAGGUUGGCCACCGCUGGUACAGAGCUUUUAUUGUUCACCUGAUGCUUUAGUAAUAAUAACCUGCUGGCUACGACUCAGUGAUCUGUUGUUUAGACUUAAGAUGUCUAAUCUUUACACACCAGUUAGCUUAUUUGUACAUUUUGAAGUGAUGAAAUGUUGGUUCUUUGAAGUGAAGUGUUUAAACUUGUUUUAAAUUGUUAAACUGUUAUUCAAAAUGUACUAGUGUCAAUGUCGAAUAAUCACAUAUCACAAUCCUGCAAUAAAAAGACGGGGAAGGGUUUCAAUUUC